AACGAACGCUGGCGGCAUGCCUAACACAUGCGUGUCGAACGAGACCUUCGGGUCUAGUGGCGCACGGGUGCGUAACGCGUGGGAACCUGCCCUUAGGUUCGGAAUAACUCCCCGAAAGGGGUGCUAAUACCGGAUAAUGUCUUCGGACCAAAGAUUUAUCGCCUUUGGAUGGGCCCGCGUUGGAUUAGCUAGUUGGUAGGGUAAAAGCCUACCAAGGCGACGAUCCAUAGCUGGUCUGAGAGGAUGAUCAGCCACACUGGGACUGAGACACGGCCCAGACUCCUACGGGAGGCAGCAGUGGGGAAUAUUGGACAAUGGGCGAAAGCCUGAUCCAGCAAUGCCGCGUGAGUGAUGAAGGCCUUAGGGUUGUAAAGCUCUUUUACCCGGGAUGAUAAUGACAGUACCGGGAGAAUAAGCUCCGGCUAACUCCGUG
rnacentral:rRNA from 1 species